rnacentral:ncRNA from 1 species
UUGGUCGUACCGGAGCAUCGAGCACCAUUGGUAACCGUUGAUUCGCACAAUUGGUCAUCGCACUUGGUUGAAAAGCCAGUGGCGUGAAGCUACCGUGCGCUAGAUUAUGACUGAACGUCUCUAAGUCAGAAUUUAGGCUAGAAGCGACGCACGCGCCAGUCGCCCGAUUUUUGACCCGUAGUGGGGGCCUCUAGCACCAAGGGCACAUUUCGUAGGUGCAGCGACGGCGACAGACAAGUCGCGGGCGCCUCCUUGGAGCGUAAUUCCCACCGAGCAGUAAGUAGAAUCCUUUGCAGAUGACUUAAAUACGCAACGGGGCAUUGUAACUGGCAGAGUGGCCUUGCUGCCAUGAUCCACUGAGAUUCAUCCCUUUGUCGCUUUGAUUC